rnacentral:rRNA from 1 species
UAGCUGGUCUGAGAGGAUGAUCAGCCACACUGGGACUGAGACACGGCCCAGACUCCUACGGGAGGCAGCAGUGGGGAAUUUUCCGCAAUGGGCGAAAGCCUGACGGAGCAACGCCGCGUGAGGGAUGAAGGCCUCUGGGCUGUAAACCUCUUUUCUCAAGGAAGAAGCUCUGACGGUACUUGAGGAAUAAGCCACGGCUAAUUCCGUGCCAGCAGCCGCGGUAAUACGGGAGUGGCAAGCGUUAUCCGGAAUUAUUGGGCGUAAAGCGUCCGCAAGUGGCUCUGUAAGUCUGUCGUUAAAGCGUGGAGCUCAACUCCAUUUCAGCGGUGGAAACUACAAAGCUUGAGUGUGGUAGGGGCAGAGGGAAUUCCCGGUGUAGCGGUGAAAUGCGUAGAUAUAGGGAAGAACACCAGUGGCGAAGGCGCUCUGCUGGGCCAUAACUGACACUCAUGGACGAAAGCCAGGGGAGCGAAAGGGAUUAGAUACCCCUGUAGUCCUGGCCGUAAACGAUGAACACUAGGCGUCGGGGGAAUCGACCCCCUCGGUGUCGUAGCCAACGCGUUAAGUGUUCCGCCUGGGGAGUACGCACGCAAGUGUGAAACUCAAAGGAAUUGACGGGGGCCCGCACAAGCGGUGGAGUAUGUGGUUUAAUUCGAUGCAACGCGAAGAACCUUACCAGGGUUUGACAUCCUGCGAACCCCUGAGAAAUCGGGGGGUGCCUUCGGGAACGCAGUGACAGGUGGUGCAUGGCUGUCGUCAGCUCGUGUCGUGAGAUGUUGGGUUAAGUCCCGCAACGAGCGCAACCCACGUCUUUAGUUGCCAGCAUUCAGUUGGGCACUCUAGAGAGACCGCCGGUGAUAAACCGGAGGAAGGUGUGGAUGACGUCAAGUCAUCAUGCCCCUUACAUCCUGGGCUACACACGUACUACAAUGCUACGGACAAAGGGCAGCGAACUCGCGAGGGCAAGCAAAUCCCAUAAACCGUGGCUCAGUUCAGAUCGUAGGCUGCAAUUCGCCUACGUGAAGGAGGAAUCGCUAGUAAUCGCAGGUCAGCAUACUGCGGUGAAUACGUUCCCGGGCCUUGUACACACCGCCCGUCACACCAUGGAAGUUAGCCACGCCCGAAGUCGUUACUCCAACCCUUGUGGAGGAGGGUGCCGAAGGUGGGGCUGAUGACUGGGGUGAAAUUCGUAACAAGGUAACCGUAGGAGAACCUGCGGUUG